rnacentral:lncRNA from 1 species
CCGACCGGGACCGGACCGGACAUAACAGCGGUUUCCAACUACGGUCUUAAGCCUGAGGCUUAAAGGUAACACGCUGACAGCAAAAUCAGCGCACAAAAGCACUUUAAUAAGUCAUGUGAUCUCAGUUGGUGGUGUCCUGAGUUGAUGUCACUGAGGUACGACUCGCAUUUACUGGGGAAUAUCCGAUCUGUCUGCUUACAUGGCACACGCAAAUGCACGUAUCCGAUUCGUAUCCGAUUUAUUUCCACAUAUGAGAGAGGCCUGUAUCCGAUCUGAGAAAAAACAGAGUCCAUGCGCUUUUGUCCUGCUUACACGUUCACCGAUCAUAUCUGAUCUGUGCCAGGUGAGAGGAAAAGAUCGGAAUUGGGUCACUUGAACCAUGCAGUGUGAAGGCGGCCUAUAAUUCCACUUCAGCGGCUCCACCUGCUGCCCGCCCACCUGUGCUGCCCCGCCCACCUGUGCUGCCCCGCCUCCUACCAGGUGGACUCUUCCUGGUUGUGGGUCAGUGAUCUGUGCUGCAGCUGCGUUGACACGAUCUUCUUCUUUCUCUGCAAACUCUCAUCACUCUGCUGUUUCCAAAGCUUCAUCAUUGUUGGAUCAACAACAUGGAGGACUCUUCUUCAUCAAGUCAAUAACUAUCAGCUGAUGCUUGUUGUUUUUUUUCUAAACAUUUCCUGGAAUCAAACUGUGGUCUUCAGCAGUAGCGGUUUGAGGCAAUACAGGCGGUGGCCCGGGGUGCGAAAUGAAGGGGGGCGGCGCCGGAGGCUCAGCCCUUGUAAAAUAAUUUAUGCACCACUAUUGGUUUACGUAUGUCACAGAGUUUGUAACAGCCUGUAAGCUGGCAAUGCCCCCGUCCCGCAGCUGCACUCUCUCUCCUGUCUUUGAGAAGUAGACGCAAAUGUGUAUGAAGAAGGAGAAGGGAGGGGGCGCGGGGUGAAGGGUGCUGGCUGAGAGGUGAGCACGGAGCACCCCCACGUUUCCGCAUGCUCAAAACUGAGCUGGAUCGUCUUCAAGAGGGUGACGGUUGCGUGCUAGAUGAAAAAAUAAAAAUUCCGACAGCACCGCCAUGUAGCGAAUUGGCGCCACUAGGUGCAGCUGCACACGCUCCUGCUGGAAAUGUAUGAAGAAGGGAGGGGGGGGGGGCUGUGGGGAAUCAGUUCAACUGUGGGUCGCUUCCAAACGAGGUGGCCAGGUGGGGGGGCGGAUUUUCAUAAAUCAGUAGGUAGUUUUAAAGAUGAAUAUUUACCAUUUACUACAAAUCUAUGGUGACAAAACAUACAGUAGUUUAACAGUACUAACUAAAAAUG